rnacentral:lncRNA from 1 species
UGCCGACGACAAGUUUAAGGCCCCGUUUGGAUACCUCUAAAAACGUAGCAUAGUUAAACUAUGCUACGCUGGUAGGAAAAUAAUCCUAUGAAGCGUUUGGUAGAAAAAAAAAAUGACGUAAUUUUUGGAGUAUAGUUAUACUAUAUUCCAAAAAAUGGAGUAAACUUACAAUCCCCUUUAACCAAAGGAAAAAAAUUCCACCAUUUUGGGCUCCCAAAGAUGUAUCAAUUUUUAAAUUUUAAAUUUCAAAAUAAAAUUUUAGAUUUCAAAUUUCAAAAUUUUAAAAUUCAAAUUUAAUUUUGAUUUUAAAUUUCAAAUUUUAAAUUUCAAAUUUCAAAUUUCAAAAACUUCAAAUUUUAAAUUUUAAAUUUCAAAUUUCAAAAACUUCAAAUUUCAAAU